AGGACGAACGCUGGCGGCGUGCUUAACACAUGCAAGUCGAACGGAGGCUUUCCUCGGGGGAAGCCUUAGUGGCGGACGGGUGAGUAACGCGUGAGCAAUCUGCCUUGCACAGGGGGAUAACAACUGGAAACGGUUGCUAAUACCGCAUAACGUAACGGGGAGGCAUCUUUCUGUUACCAAAGGAGCAAUCCGGUGCAAGAUGAGCUCGCGUCCGAUUAGAUAGUUGGCGGGGCAACGGCCCACCAAGUCAACGAUCGGUAGCCGGACUGAGAGGUUGACCGGCCACAUUGGGACUGAGACACGGCCCAGACUCCUACGGGAGGCAGCAGUGGGGAAUAUUGGGCAAUGGGCGAAAGCCCUGACCCAGCAACGCCGCGUGAAGGAUGAAGGUUUUCGGAUUGUAAACUUCUUUGACUGAGGACGACAAAAGGACGGUACUCAGAAAACAAGCCACGGCUAACUACGUGCCAGCCGCCGC
rnacentral:rRNA from 1 species